rnacentral:tRNA from 7 species
GCUGAUGUAGCUCAGUUGGUAGAGCAACUGAUUCGUAAUCAGUAGGUCGGAGGUUCGAUUCCUCUCAUCAGCACCA